rnacentral:rRNA from 1 species
UACGAACUGUGCAAACGUUAUUCGGAUUCACUGGGCUUAAAGGGUGCGUAGGCGGCCAUGUAAGUAGGGUGUGAAAUCCCCCGGCUUAACCGGGGAACUGCGCCCUAAACUGUGUGGCUUGAGUGAGAUAGGGGUGUGCGGAACUUCCGGUGGAGCGGUGAAAUGUGUUGAUAUCGGAAGGAACGCCGGUGGCGAAAGCGACACACUGGGUCUCAACUGACGCUGAGGCACGAAAGCCAGGGGAGCGAACGGG